AAUCAACGCUGGCGGCGUGCCUCAGACAUGCAAGUCGAACGAUUAAGACUUCCUUCGGGAAAUGUAUAAAGUGGCGCACGGGUGAGUAACACGUAAGUAAUCUACCCUCGAGUGGGGAAUAACGUUCGGAAACGGACGCUAAUACCGCAUAAUGCAGCGGCAUCGCAAGAUGACAGUUGUUAAAGGAGUAAUUCGCUUGAGGAGGAGCUUGCGGCAGAUUAGCUAGUUGGUAAGGUAACGGCUUACCAAGGCUACGAUCUGUAUCCGGUCUAAGAGGACGGUCGGACACACUGACACUGAAUAACGGGUCAGACUCCUACGGGAGGCAGCAGUCGGGAAUUUUGGGCAAUGGGCGAAAGCCUGACCCAGCAACGCCGCGUGAAGGAUGAAGUAUUUCGGUAUGUAAACUUCGAAAGAAUGGGAAGAAUAAAUGACGGUACCAUUUAUAAGCUCCGGCUAACUACGUGCCAGCAGCCGCAGUAACAC
rnacentral:rRNA from 1 species